rnacentral:pre_miRNA from 1 species
AGUGGGAUAGCUGGGUCAAAUGGUGGCUCCAUUCCCAGUUUUCCAAGGAAUCUCCGUACUGUUUCCAGAUUGGCUGUACCAAUUUGCAGUCCCACUAGCAAU